UAACAGAAGAGUGACUUGUGCAAGUUGUCCACAAAUUCAUUGCCAAUUAAGAAAGUUGUUAUCGAAGUGGAAAGAAAAUUUAAGUUGCAAAGAGGAAAAACACAGGACAAUUGUUCAUCAAUUAAACACCCCAAACCCUUAUUUUCCCCUCAAUUUCGGAUUCCUCAUACCUUUCUUCCCAUUGUCGGCAAGCAAUUCCUCCAAACCAAAAAUCGACACAUCUAAAUACUAAAGAUCGUAGCUGGAAAAUCGCGAGCCCAGAAACUUCAAAAUAAAGAGACCCGUUAGUGGCUCCAAACCGAAAUUUCGUGGCUGAUUUUGCGCCUCAUACCAAGUGCACCCCCUGCUUUAAAAUUGCUGUGAACAUUGAAAGAAUUUUUAGGCCUGCGUAGGGAUAAGAAUUUUUAUCUCUUAGGAUUCUACAUGUUGUUGCCAUUGGAGUUUUUAUUUUCCAGUUGCACAAUAGAGUAUUUCAAUUGAUGUAGUGAAGAAAAUGUUAGGUGAUGGAACAUCCUAAUGUUGUUGCCAUUCUCAAUGCUUCCAAUUUCUUUGUGGGAAAAUCUUCGAAUCUUGUUAACGCUUGCAGCAUAAAGAUUUGUACUACAUGAUCAUUCAGAUUUCGGUGAUACUAGCAGCAUAUAGAAAUCAAUAAGGGCACUCAUUUGAUUGAAAUUGUGUUUCAUCAGUCAACUUCUCAAAGAGAGAUUCCCUGCAUAGGUGGAACUUAAUGAGAUUAUAAUAUGCUCUAGUUCUUGGUUCAAUUAGAAACAUAUAAUAUGCUGUAGUUUUGGCUCAAUUAGAAAAAUAUGAUAUGCUGUAUUUUUGGUUUAAUUAGAACAAUAUAAUAUGGAAUGUUAACAUCUUUCAAGUA